rnacentral:rRNA from 1 species
UACGGGGGGGGCAAGCGUUGUUCGGAAUUACUGGGCGUAAAGCGUGCGCAGGCGGUUGUGCAAGACAGAUGUGAAAUCCCCGGGCUCAACCUGGGAACUGCAUUUGUGACUGCACGGCUAGAGUGUGUCAGAGGGGGGUAGAAUUCCACGUGUAGCAGUGAAAUGCGUAGAUAUGUGGAGGAAUACCGAUGGCGAAGGCAGCCCCCUGGGAUAACACUGACGCUCAUGCACGAAAGCGUGGGGAGCAAACAGG